rnacentral:rRNA from 1 species
UGGGGAAUUUUGGACAAUGGGCGAAAGCCUGAUCCAGCAAUGCCGCGUGAGUGUAGAAGGCCUUCGGGUUGUAAAGCUCUUUUGUCAGGGAAGAAACGGCGGUUUCUAAUACAGAUCGCUAAUGACGGUACCUGAAGAAUAAGCACCGGCUAACUACGUG